rnacentral:rRNA from 1 species
UACGUAGGGUGCGAGCGUUGUCCGGAAUUAUUGGGCGUAAAGAGCGCGUAGGCGGUUUGUCGAGUCUGCUGUGAAAACUGGGGGCUCAACCCCCAGCCUGCAGUGGAUACUGGCAGACUAGAGUGCGGUAGGGGAGAUUGGAAUUCCUGGUGUAGCGGUGAAAUGCGCAGAUAUCAGGAGGAACAUCGAUGGCGAAGGCAGGUCUCUGGGCAUUAACUGACGCUGAGGAGCGAAAGCAUGGGGAGCGAACAGG